rnacentral:misc_RNA from 1 species
GAUGAAAACGUAGCAAAAUGCGAUAAGUAAUGUGAAUUGCAGAAUUCAGUGAAUCAUCGAAUCUUUGAACGCACAUUGCGCCCGCCAGUAUUCUGGCGGGCAUGCCUGUUCGAGCGUCAUUUCAACCCUCAAGCACAGCUUGGUGUUGGGACUCGCGUUAAUUCGCGUUCCCCAAAUUGAUUGGCGGUCACGUCGAGCUUCCAUAGCGUAGUAGUAAAACCCUCGUUACUGGUAAUCGUCGCGGCCACGCCGUUAAACCCCAACUUCUGAAUGUUGACCUCGGAUCAGGUAGGAAUACCCGCUGAACUUAAGCAUAUCAAUAAGCGGAGGA